AGGGGCAGCGGGGAGCAAGCUUGCUUGCUCUGCCGGCGACCGGCGCACGGGUGAGUAACACGUAUGCAACCUGCCCUCCGCAGGGGGAUAACCCGGAGAAAUCCGGACUGAUACCGCGUGGUACACCUGUGGGGCAUCCCACGGGUGUUAAAAGGAAGUGAUUCCGGCGGAGGAUGGGCAUGCGGCGCAUUAGCUUGUUGGCGGGGUAACGGCCCACCAAGGCUACGAUGCGUAGGGGUUCUGAGAGGAAGGUCCCCCACACUGGUACUGAGACACGGACCAGACUCCUACGGGAGGCAGCAGCGAGGAAUAUUGGUCAAUGGGCGGGAGCCUGAACCAGCCAAGUCGCGUGAGGGAAGACGGUCCUAUGGAUUGUAAACCUCUUUAGGCGGGGAGCAAUGCCGGGCACGCGUGCCCGGAGGGAGAGUACCCGCAGAAUAAGCAUCGGCUAACUCCGUGCCAGCAGCCGCGGUAAUACGGAGGAUGCGAGCGUUAUCCGGAUUUAUUGGGUUUAAAGGGUGCGUAGGCGGAUUUUUAAGUCAGCGGUAAAAUGUCCGGGCUCAACCCGGGCCGGCCGUUGAAACUGGGGAUCUUGAGUGGGCGAGAAGUAUGCGGAAUGCGUGGUGUAGCGGUGAAAUGCAUAGAUAUUAGGAGGAACACCAGUGGCGAAGGCGGCCUGCUGGACGACAACUGACGGUGAGGCGCGAAAGCGUGGGGAGCAAACAGGAUUAGAUACCC
rnacentral:rRNA from 1 species